AAGACAUUUGAGUGCUACUCUUGCCUCUGGCUGGUUUACUUUGGACAUCAUAAACCCUUUUUUUUUUUUCAGGAUCUAGUAUUUGGGAGUAUGCUUGAGAAAACAGAGCUUCAGGAAAAGCUGAGAAUGACCUCUCUCUGGCUGACUCACUGUGACUUUAAAGUAAUAUGUCUUUACAGAACAUGGCUUCUCUGCUGUUGGAACAGGAAGACCAAACAGCUCCCUGAAGCAGGUUACCUGCUCUGUAUCCACUGUACCAGUUCUCUAAACUGGCUGAAUAUCAGGAACACCUGGGAUGCUGUUUGUACAAUAGGACUGAAGCCUGCUUUUGUUCUUCCAAAUGCUGACUGAAGUGAAGCUCUACCCAGGACUGACCAUAUAGAAACUGACUUCUCCAGUGCUGACAUCCUCACUUAUGUCCUGGCUACUGGACCAGAAACUGUUGAAUGUUGGUAUAAAUUAAGAUUAAACCAAGAUUUUUUGGCAAAAAUUGACAAGUUGAUUCUAAAAUUUAUAUGGAAUUGCAAGGGACCCAGAUUAGCCAAAAACAAUUUUAAAAGCAACUAAUAAAACUGGCAGACUCACACUUCUGAUUUCA
rnacentral:lncRNA from 1 species